rnacentral:rRNA from 1 species
AACGUAGGACACAAGCGUUAUCCGGAGUUACUGGGCGUAAAGGGCGUGUAGGCGGGUGAUUAAGUUCGCUAUGAAAGCGCCAGGCUAAACCUGGCGAGGCUGGCGGAUACUGGUCAUCUGGAGUAAGGGAGAGGGAGGUAGAAUUCCGCGUGUAGUGGUGAAAUGCGUAGAGAUGCGGAGGAAUACCAGUGGCGAAGGCGGCCUCCUGGCCCUUAACUGACGCUGAAGCGCGAAAGCAUGGGGAGCGAACGGG